UCUCAGGUGCCUGCUGAUUUACCUUCCACUGCUGACCUGCUGCUUGGCUAUAAAAGCCAGGAAAAAAAUCACAUGAACUUGGUCACAGCAGCACGAUCAACCCUGUCCCUGUACUGAGAAACAUGUUGAAUCAAAAAGUACAGCUUCUGAUGCAGGGAUCUCACAUCCUUUCUCUGGGCCUGCACAAAACCUUUCUGCAGGCCAUCAAGCUCCAUGGACAGCCCCAGCAGAAUGGUCUUCUUCCUUCCCCAAGGUGGGAAGGGAUGUUUUCUGACACAGUACCCAGAAUUCAGGAAGCCAAGACCCAGAAAUGCCCCUAAUCCUGCAAGCAGAGCAGUUAAGUGCUGCAGCACAAAGCUGCCCCUCCUCAUCCUCCUUUCCCCAGCUACUUGCCAACAAUGCUCCACAGACCAAGUCUCUCCUUGUACAGCAUGAAAGCCUUCCAUACACCCUCACUGCUGGGAAGCACAGGGCUCUGGGCUGACCCAAGAGAUUCAGGAGCACUAGAAAUGGUGGACAGGAGAGGAAGAGACCCAAGCAGUGCUGCAAGUCACUGGGACACUUUCCUCCAGAGCACGAGCUUCCAUGGUUGGUGGCACCAUGGCAAAUGCCACACCACAACAUGCACCAGUAUGGAAUCACAGCACUGCCAGCACCUGCACCUCAGAGAAAGCUCACUGGUCUUCUGGAUCAGCACAGCACAGACAGGGCCAGACAAAGUGGUGAAGAUGGACAGGUGAAGUGGAAGACUAGUGCUGGGACAUCUCUGCAGCACCUCCCACAGCCACAGAGGCGCAGGAGACUCAGGAGACUAAGCAGAAGGACUGCAGUGACAGACCCAUAGGAGGUGUCCCCUACUCUACCGUAAUCAGCAGACAAGCAACUCCUCAGAGAAUUUCAAACACAUUUUGUUGCGUGUGACAUUGUGUUUGAAAACUGUACUUUCAAAAGGCAAAAAAAUAAUCCACUGACCUACAUAAAAUAUGCAGUUUAAGUGAACUAAAAGUGUUAGCAGUCAUUGCAAAGUAAUCAUCUUUAAUCAAAACUGCACCAUAAACUCCAAGAACAACAGCAGGAGCAAAAACUGUCAGGCUCCUGUAUAGCACAGCACUCUUGGAGGGAGGAGCUGUUUUGAGGAGGCAAAGGAACACACCAGAAUUACUAAAGCAGCCCAUUUAUAAAUAAAGCUGUUAAAACACACAUUGCUGGAAAACACCAGCUCUGAAGACAUGGAAGCAGAAUUUUCUUGGGACUCCCCGAUGAGAUUUGCUAGCAAGGACAGAAAUAGGGAAACAAAAAGGGUAGCUGGUCUGCUCCAACAGUGACUGAUUCACCAGAGCAAUCUUUUUUGGAAUUAGUGAGAUGUCUUAAACGAGUUUUGCCUUAGCAGAGGAAUUAAAUGCUUGCAGAAGCAUUAUGAUCAAGUCAUGCAGUAUACUUGUUAGCUUUCACCAUGAGGGUAUGUUGACUUUCAACCUCUCAGCAAUUUUAGCAAAGCCGGAGUCUUUGCUAAAGGACAUUCUCCACCAGCAGUUUGUGUCCUCUCUCGGAGCACAGACUGAAACCUCCUGGCUCCUCUCCCUGGUAUUUACAUGAUGUGUGAACAACAACACACCCUUCCUGUGGAGUAUGGAGAGAUCUCUGCUGGGACGGAACAGCUGCUGCUCUGACACCUGCCUGACCUGCAAGCCCGGGACAUUUCCUCAGAGGCCUGGCUGGCAGCACAGACCUGACCUGAGCCCUCCCCAUGCCAGGACUGCAAACCAAAGCUGGUUUACAGCAAGGGCAGAUGGCCCGAAAAGGAAUCUUUGGGCUGCCGAAGUGGUGCUUCUCUUCAGCCCAUUGAGAAACACUCAGAGGGGACAAAAUUAACAAUAGCUUGAAGCUUUAACACUUUACAAGCGGUUAAUGAACUGAAGACAGAAAUAAGAGAGGGUGGGUGCCACAGCAAAACACACAAAACAAGGCUGCCAUGGAAAGGAAAUACUUUUGCUGGUAACCUGGGAAAGUAAAAAUGGGCAGGAGUGGGCUCAGGUACACCAAUACAGACCAACCCACACAGCCAGGUCCCCCUGUGGGCAGUGAGCUGCAGGCAGGGAGAAGGCCACGAGCUGUGCAGAAGGGCUUGUGGCUGUAGGAACACAGCCACACUCUCACCCCUGGUAAUGCUUGCUGGAAAUACACAAUGCAUCCAAUACAGUCCCAAAUGCCUCCAUCCACACAGCUCUGCCUGAAAUCCCAAAGGACAAAGUAUCUCCUGCAGGAAGACCACUUUGUAAGAGAAAAUAGGUUUGUGAUGGAUUUUGCCCCAGACCAAAGAGAAGAGUUUAUGUGGAAGGGAGAACAUUAAGGACAGAGGCAGGGGAGGCAAUCUUUUGACUCAUACACAAGUUGCCUGGAUCUCCUACAGCCAGGAAGAGACAGGCUCCUCCAGACAAGUUGACACAUCCUAACUCAGCCUUCUAAGGAGGCAGGAAUUAAUUGAUCACAAGAGGUAUUCCCUUCUCUCCCUACACUAUAUAGGACUUUAAGGAACAAGGUCUGUCUGAGGCACAUUUAAAGCAUGAAAGGUUAGGGCAAAUAAACUCAAUCAUGCCUAGAGAAUUGUAUGACCAUCUGUGGUCUGGGAGAAAGAGCUGUCUAGGCUACAGCAAUCCUUCAGGUCCAAAGGCCUGUGCUCCUCCUUCUACCAUGCUCUGGAAGCAAAGGUUCAGCUACUCCCUAGGAGGAAUCCUGGGCAGUAACUGCAUAUUUCCUGUGCAUGAUAUUAUUAGAACAAAGAGGAAAGUACUUCCUCCAGGGAAACUGUGUCUGCUGCAACUUACACUUCAAACACUUCAUCUAAAUAUCAAAUGAUGAAAUCUUCUGGGAACACACAAAGUAAUUUGCCUUUUUUGACUAUGCCAGCCACUCUGGCUAGAGUGUCCUGGAGUCAGAUCACUUUCCUGUAAACAUAUGGAGGUCCAUUAAAUAAACAAUCAUAUAGGAAAACUA